CCGCGUUGAUGGGCGCGCAGCGGGCUCUGAAAGCUCGACCGUGGGCCGGGCGCUGUGGCGCACGCCUGUAAUCCCAGCACUUUGGGAGGCCAAGGUGGGUGGAUCAAAGUUCGCGACCAGCCUCACCAACAUGGUGAAACCCCGUCUCUACGCACGCCUAUAGUCCGAGCUACUCGGGAGGCUGAGACAGGAGACUCUCUUGUCCCUGGGAGGCAGAGGUUGCGGUGAGGUGAGCCAAGAUCGCGCCAUUGUACUCCAGCCUCGGCAACAAGAACGAAACUCCGUAUCAAAAAAAAAAAAAAGCUCGACUGUGGGCCUGCGACCUUCACGCGCCAGCGCUGGAGAGGUGCCAGGCUCCCUGGGGCCGAGACCGGGGCAGGCGACGACACUUCAUCUGGCCUCCUAGCCUCGGCCUCUAAGCUUCCUGCAUCUUCUGCUUCAUCCUAGGUGAUGCUGGACGUGACAGAGAAGGUGACAGGUCACCCUGAGUGCGGGACUCCGUGUGAGUCUGAACGAAGUGGGCCUCCAGGUACCACGCCUUUGCUUCUGCUGUGGCAUCUGAUGAGUUCCCUGUUCAUCUCUCCAGGCAUACCCAGGGCAAUCGGCCCUGAUGCCCAGGGGCUAGGCUUGCAAGACUGCGCAUUACGUUCGCAGAGCCGGAGUGCAAGGCCAGACCUGGUACCAACAGCAUCUCUGCCUUCGUCCUCAUCUGGUUCCCGCCUCAAACCUGUACCCGUGCUGGGGAGCCUGGAAGAUUAUUGA
rnacentral:lncRNA from 10 species